AACGAACGCUGGCGGCAUGCCUAACACAUGCAAGUCGAACGAGACCUUCGGGCCUAGUGGCGCACGGGUGCGUAACGCGUGGGAACCUGCCCUUAGGUUCGGAAUAACUCCCCGAAAGGGGUGCUAAUACCGGAUAAUGUCUUCGGACCAAAGAUUUAUCGCCUUUGGAUGGGCCCGCGUUGGAUUAGCUAGUUGGUAGGGUAAAAGCCUACCAAGGCGACGAUCCAUAGCUGGUGUGAGAGGAUGAUCAGCCACACUGGGACUGCGACACGGCCCAGACUCCUACGGAAGGGAGCAGUGGGGAGUAUUGGACGAUGGACGAAAGCCUGAUCCAGCAGUGCCGCGUGAGUGAUGAAGGCCUUAGGGUUGUAAAGCUCUUUUACCCGGGAUGAUAAUGACAGUACCGGGAGAAUAAGCACCGGCUAACUCCGUG
rnacentral:rRNA from 1 species